rnacentral:lncRNA from 1 species
AGAUUGUGCCACCUGCCCAAUCUUCCCAAAGCCAUCUCUCUCCUGCUGGUUGAAAGCAAAGCUCAGUUUUUUCAUUCUCUCUCCUCAUACACUCGCAGAAUCCGGCCUUCCACUGUAAGAUCAACUGAAACUGUUCAAGAAAAGGUCCAAGUUUUUCGUUCUCUCCCACUCGAAUUCAACACAUUCAAACAAAAAAACCCAGAGAAACCAGUGGUUCCUCACUGUUGUUCCCAUGGAUGCAAUCAAGGUGGUCAUGCAAACCAGCAGGUCGACAAUGAUUAAAAUGAAAGUUCUACCAUGGGUUUCUUGUUGA